UCCUGAGGAAGAUCACUCACAGGUGGAGCCCAGGACCUGGGGGGACACCCACCACCCUGGAGGACCCCAGCGUCAUCCAGGAAAUCCUGAGUGCCUUCCACAUGCACAAAGAGAGGCGGGCAGCCACCAAGUAGGAUGCGGCCUCCACCCAAGCUCAGACCUCAUCCCAGUGAGCCCAGGCCUCACGUGCCUCCCAGGACAUCCCAGCCCAGAAUCCACACCCUCAAUGUGGAACGGCCAGCCUGGAGCCUCUCGUCCUUCCUGGGGCCCGAGUCUGACCUGCCAGGGUGCCAACACACACGGUAGUUUCUGUGCUGCUUGCCUGGGCUCGGUUUCCAGGCCUGGACUUCAGCAGCAUCUGCAGCCCAGAGCUGGGGCAACCCCAUUUCUUCAGAGGUUUCCAGAGACAAAAGCUGAGGCUUUUGUCUGAGGUGAGGGUACACACACACACACACACACACACACACACACACACACACGUACUAUAGCAGAGUCAGGGAAAUCUCUGCCUACAUCAGUGAGAAGGGCCCGCUCUCCAGCACCUGUUAGCAAAUCUGGAAAUCUGGUCAGAUGUCUGUGCCCCUGUCUGUCUGCUGUCCUGAGAACUUCGUGCCCGUGUCCCAUGUCUGACCUUCCUGACCUUGGUCUGUGUCAUCUCAGAAUGAAUGAUACCUGGACCCCCGAGCUCUGAAGCUAUUCUGGGUGGAUUUGUUCCUUUGAGCUGUGACCUGGCAGGAUUUGCUUUCUGCUUGAUGCCUCUCGGGGAGAAAGUCAGGGAAAACUCAGGUGAAUGUCAGGGCAGCUUGGUCUGAACUGGGCUCCUGUUCUGGGGGCCGGAAGAGCCAGAGGCCCCAGUGUAAGAUAUGCACCCUGUUCCGGGGUCCCCCUUUUCAAUGUGCCUUAAGUCCCAAAGAUCACAAUGUGAUGUGGGUCAGGUCACUCAGUGCUCAUUGAGAGUCAAGACUGAGAGCAUGGGGCAGGUGGAGGCUGAGCCCCUGUGCACCCCGUUUGGGUGUUCAUGGGGUCUGGGUGCCCCAUACCUGCCAGGGCCUUGCUGUGGUAGCUCUGGGCAAUUGGGUGGGUGGAGCGCGAGGAGACUCACGGUAGCAGAGGCUGCAGUACGCACAACACUGAGCAGCAGUGCUGCGUUACCACUGGUGAUGUUGAGCCACGCACUGGGCCACAGAAGAGCCAUGGCGCUGUUAUGAAAUGACUUGGGUCUCUGGCUCUCCUAGUGGUCCACAAGGUUGUUCAAAUAAAGCUUUAUUUUGUUCAUUCUCCAUCUAGGGUCAUACUUUGGUGGAUGCUUUUUAUUUUUCCCCCUGAUGCUGGGCACUGAUCCUCGGCCAGGCCCACGCUGGGCAGGCAUUUACCCCUGAGCUGCACCCUUGGCCUUGGGCUGUUCUUUCCACUGCACUUAUUCUAAGCAUAGCACCGGGAUGGGCAGCAGGUCUGUCCCUUCAGAAAGUGGCACUAACAAAGCCUGUGUUCUCACCGGGGACACACACUAGCAGCCAUGCGUCCCACCUCCCUGACAC
rnacentral:lncRNA from 1 species